rnacentral:piRNA from 1 species
ACUUAUGCUACAAAGCCAAUGGUCUGGUAAAG